CAGUCGCCGCGGUAAAACGUAGGUGGCAAGCGUUGUCCGGAAUUAUUGGGCGUAAAGGGCUCGCAGGCGGUUUCUUAAGUCUGAUGUGAAAGCCCCCGGCUCAACCGGGGAGGGUCAUUGGAAACUGGGAAACUUGAGUGCAGAAGAGGAGAGUGGAAUUCCACGUGUAGCGGUGAAAUGCGUAGAGAUGUGGAGGAACACCAGUGGCGAAGGCGACUCUCUGGUCUGUAACUGACGCUGAGGAGCGAAAGCGUGGGGAGCGAACAGGAUUAGAUACCCGAGUAGUCCCUGUCUCUUAUAC
rnacentral:rRNA from 1 species